rnacentral:rRNA from 1 species
GACGAAGGAUGCAAGCGUUAUCCGGAUUCAUUGGGUUUAAAGGGAGCGUAGGCGGAUUGGUAAGUCAGUGGUGAAAUCUUUGGGCUUAACCCAGAAACUGCCAUUGAUACUGCUGAUCUAGAGUACAGUUGCCGUUGGCGGAAUAUGACAUGUAGUGGUGAAAUACUUAGAUAUGUCAUAGAACACCGAUUGCGAAGGCAGCUAACGAAGCUGUAACUGACGCUGAGGCUCGAAAGUGCGGGGAUCAAACAGG